rnacentral:rRNA from 1 species
ACGAACGCUGGCGGCGUGCUUAACACAUGCAAGUCGAACGGAAAGGCCCUGCUUUUGUGGGGUGCUCGAGUGGCGAACGGGUGAGUAACACGUAAGUAACCUCCCCUUGACUUUGGGAUAACUUCAGGAAACUGGGGCUAAUACCGGAUAGGAGCUCCUGCUGCAUGGUGGGGGUUGGAAAGUUUCGGCGGUUGGGGAUGGACUCGCGGCUUAUCAGCUUGUUGGUGGGGUAGUGGCUUACCAAGGCUUUGACGGGUAGCCGGCCUGAGAGGGUGACCGGCCACAUUGGGACUGAGAUACGGCCCAGACUCCUACGGGAGGCAGCAGUGGGGAAUAUUGCACAAUGGGCGGAAGCCUGAUGCAGCAACGCCGCGUGCGGGAUGACGGCCUUCGGGUUGUAAACCGCUUUCGCCUGUGACGAAGCGUGAGUGACGGUAAUGGGUAAAGAAGCACCGGCUAACUACGUG